CCAGGCCCUGAGUUCAAGCCCCAGGGCUGGCAAUAAAAAUACAGAGUUGUUUGAGCAAUGGUAAGUAGAUUAAAGUACGUGUGGGUGGUAAGAGUGACAUAUUAAAGUCAUCCAGAAAAGGUUAUGAACAAUGAUGAAUGCUAGCCUAAGGAGUUUUUCCCUAUUACCCAAAAAAACAAUGGAGUCCAGGCUAGGUGUGAAGGCUCAAGCCUGUAAUUCACAAAGAGUCCAGAGGACUCCAUUUCAACCAAUGACUGAGCACAGUAACACAUCUGUUAUACCAACUAUAGGGGAAGUACAGUGAGUAGAAGCAUAAUGGCAUCGCAGAGACUCUGGGAAUCUUAAUUAGGAGGAUUACAACCCUGGUCACCUUUGGGGCUGGGGAUAUGGCCUAGUGGCAAGAGUGCUUGCCUUGUAUACAUG